UUGGUUUAGAGUUAGCCUUGGCUGCUCCCCUGCUUGAAAAUGGCCCUGAUUUAGGUUUAGAGCUAACCUUCCUUAGGCUAUUUCACACGCUAUGACUGAAGUUUUUGUUCCCUGCUAAAAAGCCUUCAUUUUUGUUACCUCCGAUUCAGGUUCUCCUGAUUCAGGUUCAUUUUUGUGUACUGCUCCCUGCUAAGAAACCUUCAUCUUACAAUGCUUUUGUUAGCUCUGUCUGAACAUUUUCUUAUUACCCUUUCAGUGCCUGCUCUCAUAAAGAUGAAUGUGUCCUGUUCGUCAAUGCCGGUGGGUAUAUCUGAGAAAACUGCAAAGGAAGCAGAAGACAAUGUGCUCCCGAGAGAGAUGUGAGGAGACGAGAGAGGAGAUUGCUGGAUCUGGAAAUGGAGGUCAGCACUACCUACAGGACAAGAGCGCCAGUCCUCUCCGACUCUUCAAGGUCUCUCAUGCUCUGCUCUUGCUCUGGCUGAAUUAGAAGUUAGCAUUAAAAGCUGGUGUGUUUUAUGACAGAGUGACAAAUAUGACUAUUUGGGGAAACCAUUCAACAACUCAGGUUCCUAAUUUCUUGAAUGCCAAAAUUAAUGGGAGGCCAGUAAAAGAAGUCAUCAAAGAUACAAAGUGGCUAGAAGAGGAUUUUCCUAUAACUGUUCAAAAGGUAGACGGAGAAGGUGGUGAUGCCGCCAAGGCUGUUGCUCCCGGUGUCAGAGAGGGUGUCGCUGACCGAUGCCGCCGGCUUGCCCGAGGUGGCCUGCACGUCUUCAUGACCAGCCAUCUCUCCAGCAUCUCGCACAAUGUAUUCAGAGAGAUGCUGCCACUGGUGAUACAUCUGUGCGAAGCCAGAUCCAGAAUGAGUCGACAGAGUUGGGAGUAGCGAUACAACAUCUGGGGGCUAUGCCUUUUGAGCUUGGACGGACAAUGAUGACGCUUAGAAUGGGGCCUUCUCCUGUAUGCAUUUUUCUACUAUGUCACUAUCACACAAGUGAUUCACAAGGUUUAAGUAUUCUGAUAGCUUUUUUAUUUUGUAGGCUAAUGCUUUUGUAAAUGCUGGGCAUGCUGUUUAUACAAACCCCACUGGACCAAGUCCAAUCAUGGUUCAGGCUACCUGUAUAGCUUUGCUUUCCUAUCAUGAACUGCUGACAACUUUGUUUUGGGCUAUCAUGCUAGCAUGCACUGUAACAUAUAUCACUAUGUAUUAACAUGCUACCUAAGUAUCUAUUUCUUUAUACUUUAAGGAUCUUAUUAUCAGUCCUUAAACAAAUCUUACGUGCAUGAUUUGAAUGCUUGGUUUGCUGUCGCCCUUUGCACCAUCGGUGCAACGGGUGGUUAGCUGCUUUUUUAUGUGUGAGAAUGUCAGGAAUGUUUUUAUAUGUGCCCAGAUUUAUUUGGUGUGCCUGCUAUGUUUCACUUUCACUGCUCUUUGUUGAAUAAAUUGAGAAAUUCUUGAUUAUUUUUAUGUUAUUUCUUUACAUGAAGGAUCCAGAUUAAAAUCUAAUGUGUUAUUCUUGCUGGCUUAGUUUAAACAAAUGCAUUUUAGAUCACCUACUUCUCAGUUCAUGCAUUUUGGAUCCAAAGCCUCCGUUAGGUUUUUGGAUGUGCUCUCUUAGGUAGGUUUUCUUUUCUCUUUCUUUCCUUCCUCUUGGGACUGUUUAUUCUCUGUCUGUAUAUAUUUGCUUCGAUUGAAAUAAAGGACCAUGGGGCUUUUGCUCCACAUUGGAUAGUGGAAAAAAAAGUAACAUGUAUUUGGUUUAAACUGUUUGAAGUUAACAAGGACCAAGUAACAUACUAUGUGCUUGCUCUGUUUGGUCAUGGCAUAUGAAUCUGAUUAGAUCAUCGCAGUUGAAUAAUUAGAAACCUUGGGGAGGAAUAUGAUGUGUGUUUCUGUUUCAGUUACAGAGACUUGGUCUCGUGUUAUGCCUCAUAAGGUCGAGGCAUGUGUUACAGAGGCUAGGAAGAUUAUUUUUCUGUUGUUGAUUAUGUUUUUUUGAUAAUGCAAAAACACCUAUGUACUAAUAACCUAUAUACUGAUGUUGUACUAACAAUAGUUUCCUUCUUUUCCAUUGCAGUAAGUAGAAGUUAUAUUUUUUUCUGACCAUUCCUUUCUUCUCCUAGGCCAUCGAUUUGCUUUCCGCUCGGAUUACACUGCCUGCAGCCUCCUAUUUGUGACGCCGUGGAACCAAAGGUAUGCUUCUCUCUGUACCGGAUCUGAUUCUUUUUGCCUGCUCUAUUUGCGCUCAAUCAACAUAUGUAUCUGCACUGCUAGAAGUGAAAUAGAAAUUCAGAGGGAGAUAAAAAGGCUACGUGCUCACAACAGGGGUGGUUAGUUCUUCGUAUUCCUCUCUAUCAUUGGUUGGAAUGUACCACUGGUUUCUCUAUGUAAGCUUCCCACCUUCUUGUUCUACCUGAUGCAGAACACGUGCUUUCAUCACCUACAAUAGUCAGUUGUUUUUGGCACUCUGUGCAAGCGGUACAUCAUCGAUAGGCAUUGGAUCGCUGUUCUCUUACUUCAACGAUUUUUGUUUCAGCUACCCAAUUUUUGUCUUGAUGGUUGUCUAAGAUGAGUUUCACUUCCUUGUUCAAAUCAUCCCUGCAGUAGAAGCCAUGCAAGCGCCAUGUAAAAUGGUUUUGAAUCGGAACCGAAGCCAUCUGUUGGAAGUAACAUCUGUAGGGACUGAACAUGUAUGUCACUCCCAGUAAUAUAGAGUGAAGGCAAUAAUAACAACAUUGUUUGUUGUUGGUUUAUAAUGGGUGAGUUCCUACUCCUUGGAUUCACCUGUUUAUCGCCUGCACACCUUGGCUAGGAUAUGUUGUUUCUUAAUAUUACCUGCAAGUCUGAAUCUUUUAAUUAUUUGUACAAUAUUUUUCAUUAUAGGAGUAUUGGCCAUCGUUUAUUCUUGGUAUGCACAUCAAAGUUUCAGAUAUUCUUAAUUGUGGAUGUACCUUUAGGAUUUCAUGAAAUAGAUAUGCAUCAUAUAUUGAUGCGUGUCCUAAGCAGCAGAUCAUUACUAUAGUUUAUGUAGUGUCUGAACCUUACAUUAUGUUCCUUCUUUUGAGUUUUCACAUAAAGCUAGGGUGUUCCUCUGUUUAGAGAGUUUAGAUAGAAGGCAAUAUUGAACCACCUCCGUUUAUUGUCUCGAUAUGAUCUUUUAACAUUGUUUCUCAACUGUGUUCAAUCUGGCUUAUCAAUAAAAUAUACUCACUGUCAUGCAUUCUGCCUUGAUCCGUUGGCUACAUUUAUUUGGUUGGGUUAGUGCGGGUAUCUGGCCAAGCUACUUGGCUCACUUUCGUUGCCUUUUGCGGGUCCUU